UACAGAGGUCUCAAGCGUUGUUCGGAUUCAUUGGGCGUAAAGGGUGCGUAGGUGGCGCUGUAAGUCGGGUGUGAAAUUUCGGAGCUUAGCUCCGAAACUGCAUUCGAUACUGCGGUGCUUGAGGACUGGAGAGGAGACUGGAAUUCAUGGUGUAGCAGUGAAAUGCGUAGAGAUCAUGAGGAAGACCAGUGGCGAAGGCGGGUCUCUGGACAGUUCCUGACACUGAGGCACGAAGGCCAGGGGAGCAAACGGG
rnacentral:rRNA from 1 species